GCAGGCGUGGCGGAAUUGGUAGACGCAGCGCACUCAAAAUGCGCCGACUUCGGUCUUGCGAGUUCAAGUCUCGCCGCCUGUA
rnacentral:tRNA from 1 species